ensembl:lncRNA novel transcript
AGAUCCUUCCUUCUCUCCUCCUUCUUCAUUCUACACCACCCCCAACACAUAUCCCUGCACCCCGCCCAUUCUUUGCUCUCUCUCCUUUCUUACACUUAACUCCUUCUUGCUCCACAGCCUAACAUGCUGAUUAACAGGACCCCAAAGGUUUGGGUGGGUAUUAGGGGCCUUCUCAACAAAAGCAGCACACUCUUGAGCUUGUUCUUCCUUUUGUUGCCAUCUCAGAUAAAAAGGCCCCAUGAGGGAGGAGACAGAUAAGUAUAGACUUGGUAUUCUGAUAACUCUGUGUUACAUGGGAUCAGAUGUAAAUGAGUUGUACCCUGUGGUGUUUCAUGCUCUGCUGUGUUGUCUUCUCAUGGUGAGCUUUUCUGUGCCCUUAUUUCAUCCAGCUCUGGUUUCUGUGUUUCAUGUUAUUUCUCCUAGCCUCUGUAAACUCUGCAGCAUACUAAUAAUGCUCUGGCUUUCUGAUUAAAGAUAAAUGGCUUACUAUCAUCACCCCUGGCUUGAGGGCCAGCUCACAUGUAAUCCCUUAUAGGAUUCCAAAGUUGUUAAAUAAAUGCAGUUCUUUUUGUCAUUUUGAAGCAUUCAAAAAUUUUUCAAGAAAAGCUAUGAUCAUAUAAAUAGAAAUUUUAUCCAGAAUGUUACAGUGUAGCAUUUGUGAAUAAAUGUGUAGGUGCUGUAUUUGCUCAGACUCUAGUUUGGGUUGUGUUUUCUUUUCCCUUUUUUUUUUUGAGACAGGGUCUCUCUCUGUCAUCUGGGCUGCAGUGCAGUGGUAUAAUCACAGCUCACUGCAACCUCUACUCCCAGGCUCAAGCAAUCCUCCUGAGUAGCUGGGACUAGAGACAUGCGCCACAACGCCCAGCUAAUUUUUAGGUUUUUCUUUCACAUAGACAGGGUCUCACUCUGUUGGCCAGGCUGGUUUCGAACUCCUGGACUCAAGCAAUUCCCCCCACCUCAGCCUCCUAAAGUGCUGGGAUUACAGGCCUGAGCCACCAUACCCAGCAAGUUAUAUUUUCUUUUUCCUUAUAUAGAGUAAAAUAAGGGUGAGUGACCGAGAGGUUGAUGCAUAGCUAGAUCACCAGUUUAAAUGCCUUCCCACACACCCCUUUCCUCCUGUUCCCUCCACCUACAGGUUGUAGAUGAGCAUGAGAGUGUGGAGCAGAGUUGGCGAGUGCAAGUCGAGCCCAUCAACCUGGACAGCUGUCUCCGUGCUUUCACCAGUGAGGAAGAGCUAGGGGAAGAUGAGAUAUACUACUGUUCCAAGUGUAAGACCCACUGCUUUAGCAACAAAGAAGCUGGAUCUCUGGAGGCUUCCACCCUUCCUGAUUAUUCACCUUAAGCGAUUUCAAUUUGUAAAUGAUCAGUGGAUAAAAUCACAGAAAAUUGUCAAAUUUCCUCGGGAAAGUUUUGAUCCGAGUGCUUUUUUGGUACCACGAGACCCGGCUCUCUGCCAGCAUCAACCACUCACACCCCAGGGGGAUGAGCUCUCCAAGCCCAGGAUUCUGGCAAGAGAGGUGAAGAAAGUGGAUGUGCAGAGUUUGGCUGGGGAAGAGGACAUGCUCCUGAGCAAAAGCCCAUCCUCACUCAGCGCUAACAUCAGCAGCAGCCCAAAAGGUUCUCCUUCUUCAUCAAGAAAAAGUGGAACCAGCUGUCCCUCCAGCAAAAACAGCAGCCCUAAUAGCUGCCCACGGACUUUGGGGAGGAGCAAAGGGAGGCUCCGGCUGCCCCAGAUUGGCAGCAAAAAUAAACUGUCAAGUAGUAAGAAGAACUUGGAUGCCAGCAAAGAGAAUGGGGCUGGGCAGAUCUGUGAGCUGGCUGAUGCCUUGAGCUGAGGGCAUAUGCGGGGGGGCAGCCAACCAGAGCUGGUCACUCCUCAGGACCACGAGGUAGCUUUGGGCAAUGGAUUCCUUUAUGAGCAUGAAGCAUAUGGCAAUGGCUACAGCAAUGGUCAGCUUGGAAACCACAGUGAAGAAGACAGCACUGAUGACCAAAGAGAAGACACUCAUAUUAAGCCUAUUUAUAAUCUAUAUGCAAUUUCAUGCCAUUCAGGAAUUCUGAGUGGGGGCCAUUACGUCACUUAUGCCAAAAACCCAAACUGCAAGUGGUACUGCUACAAUGGCAGCAUCUGUGAGGAACAUCACCCUGAUGAAAUUGACACCGACUCUGCCUACAUUCUUUUCUAUGAGCAGCAGAGGAUAGACUACGCACAAUUUCUGCCAAAGAUUGAUGGCAAAAAGAUGGCAGACACAAGCAGUAUGGAUGAAGACUUUGAGUCUGAUUACGAAAAGUACUGUGUGUUACAGUAAAGCUACCACUCUGGCUGCUAGAUAGCUUGGUGGGGAGGGAGAUGACUCCUUGUAGCUGAUACUUGGCAAAAGUGUCACUGAGAGGCAAGCUAAAUGUAGUUAUUUUAUCCUGUUAGAAUACAAAUUCUAAUUAAAAUAGUUAACUUUAAGAGUAGUAGUAAUUUUAUUUUGAAGUCUCAUGCAAGUUGUCUGAUAGAGAACUUUCAGGCAGAUCCCACCAUUAGCCUGUAAACAAAAAGUUUGGCACCAGCCACCUGGGACCAAAUAAGAAUUCAAUUGUGCUUGUCCAGAUAUGAACAAAUAUGUAGUGAGUAUAGAGUUUAUCAAUAAUCAUAACAAAUAUUAAAGAUUUCCUUGGAGUCAAAGUAAAAAACAAAAAAUUGUAAUGUUGUCUAGGGAUGACAUGAUAUGCUACCUCCUUUUUCCUGAAGUUUUAUUCCAUUCUGUUGACAAGAUGGAGAAAGCAAGAUCAUGAAGGUGUGCAAAUGAUUCUUACGGCAUGGGCGAGGAUUUUUCAAUUUAUUUUUUAAAGUUUCCAUACCCUUUCUUUGUCUUUCUUGCUUUUUGUUUUUGCCGUUGUGUUUAUGUUUGAGAUACAACCAGUCAUUGGUGGCAGGGGCAUAGAGUGGUCAGUCUGAAAGGGAGGCUCUCUUAAGAGCUAUGUGCCUUCCACCCAGAGGGAGACCCAGUAGAAAGAAAAACAUCCUGGGAAAUCCAGCUACCAUGGCCCUCCCAGUGGAGGCAUCUUACAUUUAGGAUACUUCAGGUAUCCUCAGAAAUGUAUUCUGCACCCCCCGGCCCCGCCCAUGCUGAGGGAAGGGGAGCAGUUGCCAAUAUUUGCACCAUCUUCACAUGCACAUGUUGCAACAAGAGCUUCUGGGAAGGUAAGCGGCAUCGGAGCUAGAUCACGUUUCACAAUUAGUGGUGGUUCUUUUCCAUGUUUGUUUUGCACUUUAAAAAAGAGAGAACACAUGCAAAUGAACUUGCUUGUGUGUAUUUGAUGGCUCCAAGGGCUAUAAAUUACAAACAAAACACAUCCCAGACAUUAGGAGUUCAUAAGUAUAUUUAAUGAAAUUGGUGGUUUUAGGAAGUCAACUUUAGUUUUGCUUUGUUUGCAUGUCCACUAAUUUUUUUAUUUUGAUAUUAGUCUUUUUUAAAAAAUUUUACAGUAGUCAUUGAAAGUUAUGUUUCUUUGUUUACUUCAUUUUUUCCUCUAAAUAUUCAAGACUGGGACAAAAGUAUAAAUAUUAUUUAUUUCAGGUAGAAUUUUUUUGGUGUAGUUUUUUAAUAUAUACUUGAAGGAAAUGUUUCACCUUAUUUUUGGUCUUUGUUUAUUCAUUUAGACCCUGCAAGUUGAUUCUCAUUAAUUGUCAGAUUCCACUACACUUUCUUCCUCAUAGGUAGUAAUUACCAGUGUAACUAAGCAUUUGUGUUCUGAUAUCUGAGGCCAGUAACUAUUAAUAUCUAGUUCUCAGAGCAUUUGGAAAGGUUAUCUUAAAUGGCUACCUAAAUUGAAAUCCUUUUCAGAAAAAAUAUAAUUGCAAAUAGGUAGGAGUGGCCUAAAUUAUCUAAUGUAAUAAAGUCAGACAAAAUGCAUACUUUAUAGUUCAAGAUUUUCGGUAUAUAAAAUCUGUCCUUUCCUACCUGGACAUGUCCCAUUAAAAAGUGGAAGAUUUUAAAUAAUUUCUUUACAGAUGUUUUAUUUAAGCAGGUAGCACAAUCUACUAAUGUUGUUUGAUCUGUGUUUGUUAUACUGGUUGUAAUUAAUUUUUUUAAUUCAUGAACUAGCGGAAAAUUUAUUAAAUUAACUAUUAACCACAUUCACCUUGUAAAUGACUGUAUAAAACUUGUUGACAAUGCACUGACUUUAGAAAGAUGUUAAUGUGCAUAAAUAGAGUGUAAAUAAAAUAGUGUUGAUGUACUGAAAUAUGAACUGUAUAAAAAGUAUUAGUAAUUGUAUAUGGGGUGUACCUGUUUAUCUGUAACUGUUAUCCAAACAAAUUAAAUACUGUGGAUGCCUUUA